UUUUUGGAGGGUCCCCUACAGAGUUGGGCAACCUCAGCACUCCAGCUGUUGUGGAACUACAAGUCCCAUGAGGCAAUACAAGACUCUGGCAGCGACAGGCAUGUCAAAGACUACUA